rnacentral:lncRNA from 1 species
GUUUCUUUAAAUGAUGGUGCACACCAGCUCCGAAUUUUUCACAACAAUCCUUGCCCAGAUCAGCCCUUCUCUGCCAGUUCUCUGACUUUGGUAGGACGGUAUGUGCCCUGUGCAACCCUGCUGGUGAGGGUUUUCAAGGCUCCUACAGAUUUCAGACACCAAACUUUGCAGAGAAACAUGGUCCCCCAGGCACACUGGGUCAAUAUGGGUCUCUUCCAACCUAGGCCAGAUUAUUCUGAAGAAGUAUAUUACUCAGAUUCAGCCAAGCCUGAUGGAGGAGAAAUUUACUUCUAUGAAGCCAUGAUGAACAGAUUGAGUUAGUGCCAGGUGCAUCUGUAAUUGUGCGCAUUGCAGAUGGAAGAUGGAAUGAAGAAAUGAGAUAUACAUUAUGGGACACUGAUCAAUCAUUUCUGCCAAAGCAAGCACUAGAUCUGUACAACAAGGAAAUCUCUGGAAUAAAAAUUGCAGAAUUAACACCACAGGAGACAUCAGGCAGGCAAAACACUUGGCUUUGGAACCGAUUUAAGCCAAAAGACAUGUCGGUCGUGUAUCGGAACCACUACAAUUACAUGAAUGCAUUGCCCUUAGAGCAUCUAUCAUACUGACUAAAGAGAAUGUUACUAUUUUGCUAUAUCCAAGAAACUAAUCACAAAAGCUAUCACAACCAAGAAUAUUGUCAGUGAAUGCUGGUACUGCCUUCCACUACAAGAUGCCACAGUAUUUUGUUUUUAAGAAACCCUAUUUCCCCUUAGCAGUUGAAUUACACCACCAUGCUUCUCUCUGAUACUAUCAUUAAUUUGUUGCAUCUCUCCAAUAAUCUAAUUAAAAGUUAAGAGCGUUUUCUAAACUUUAUUUGAUUUAUAUAC